CCUACGUGAGGCAGCAGUGAGGAAUAUUGGUCAAUGGGCGCGAGCCUGAACCAGCCAAGUAGCGUGAAGGAUGACUGCCCUACGGGUUGUAAACUUCUUUUAUAAAGGAAUAAAGUGAGGCACGUGUGCCCUUUUGUAUGUACUUUAUGAUUAAGGAUCGGCUAACUCCGUGCCAGCAGCCGCGGUAAUACGGAGGGUCCGAGCGUUAUCCGGAUUUAUUGGGUUGAAAGGGAGAGUAGAUGGGUUGUUAAGUCAGUGGUGAAAGUUUGCGGCUCAACCGUAAAAUUGCAAUUGAUACUGGCAGCCUUGAGUACAGUAGAGGUAGGCGGAAUUCGUGGUGUAGCGGUGAAAUGCUUAGAUAUCACGAAGAACUCCGAUGGCGAAGGCAGCUUACUAAACUGCCACUGACAUUGAUGCUCGAAAGUGUGGGUAUCAAACAGGAUUAGAUACCCCUGUAGUC
rnacentral:rRNA from 1 species